ACUGUCGCUGCCGCCUCAGAGGCUGACGCUACCAUAGAGAGUCGGGGAAAGAACUACGGAAGUUGCGCGAGGAAUGCUGGGAUACUGGAGGUCGGCCCAGCGCUUCCUGCGGGUUUAGCGCGUUUUCCGAGUUACAGAGAAAACCCUGUGAGGAAUCAUUUUUCCAGAUGAAUAAUUUGAGACACAGAACUAUCAAGGAACUUGCCAAAGGCUACAGAUCUGCUUUGUGAGUGCUGUAAUUAGAACAAAAUGAAUGUCCUCGGAAUUAAAACCCCACGUCAGUAAUGAUUGACCACAAGGAGACAUUUAAGAGACAUCAACCAUGUUGCAAGCACUGGAGACAGAAGGAUCUUAUAGACCUACUCCUGAUUCAGAAGCCCUUGGACUCUUCUCCAUUCUCUGCCUCAUCUGUGCUAUUCACAUUGUCCCAGUGAGUAGCCUGUGAAAGACACAAAAUUAUUGAUUGCAGAAGCUUGAGAGGUACAGGAUCUGAAAGUACAAUUAGAAGAAUUAAAACCAAAGGAGGGGAGAGAGAAGAGCAAAUGAGCCUUCAUUGUAAGUCUGCCUCAAUGAACUUCAAGACUUGUUUUGUAUCUGGCUUUUCUUCAUCCCAGGUAUUAUUUAUCUGCUCAUAAAUGCUGAUAGUCAAGAACAAAGUGAACAAGUCACAAGAUAGUGAAAACAAACAUCCUUAGGAGCAGCUGAUCCUGCUGUGCCAAGCUGGCUUCUUUGAGAUGUGAAAUUCUGAUUCAUCAUAUUGCUUAAGUCAAAUGUCAUCUGGUAUGAUAGGAGAAGUGUCCCUAUGAUAGAAUUAUCAUCAGCAAUAGGAAGCCCAGAAUCAAAAUGGACACUCAGUUGGAGCAGCCACACUAGCCUGCCAGACAUAGGUGACAUAUCCAAGUGCUUGUCCUUCAUCAGAUGUUUCUAUAAGCAGCAGAGCAGAAAGCUAUAAUAUGUAUUCAUUCGUAAUGUGUCAUUCUGAAUGUAUUAAGGACAACUGACUACACAUGUCACAGUUGCUGUGGCUAGACCAGUGAGGCGCUCCUGCUCAAAAGCUGAGAGCUCUGCUGACCCUGUUUCUGUCCAGUCAAAACACACCUGUCUUCAAAGAACCAUAUGUUUCACAGGAAGAGUUCAUUCCUCUCCAUACCCAGAAGAAGGCUGAUACCAUGUGUUUCUCUAAACUUGGAUGCAAGGAAGAAGAGUCCAAAGUAUCACCAGGAAAGAAUCUGCAAGGAAUAACCGAGAAGAAAAACUAACAUCUUGCAUCACAGAGAGUUGGCUUCCCCUUCAAACUCUUCCACCAACUUGGAGGGCACCAUCAUGGAAAAAUACAGAAUAGAAGUGGUUACUGGUACCAGAAGAAAACUGAAAUUCUACAAAUAUACAUCAGGAUCCCACUCUGUCCCACUAUCAUUUUCAGCUGGAGUGCCAUGGCCCGGUCUUGGCUCACUGCAACCUCCACCUCCCAGGUUCAAGUGAUUUUCCUGCAUCAGCCUCCUGAGUAGCUGGGAUUAAAGGUGACCCGUUCUCUCUCAAUAUUCUCUUUACCCUGAAGUUCUAAAAUGCCUCAGUGACAUAGAGGUUACUCCUGACCUUCUUUGUACCUGUUGUUUAUAAGUAUAAAGACUGAAGCCUUCUACCUCUCCAGACAGAAUAUACAGGAUCGUGUGUGUGUGUGUGUGUGUGUGUGUUCACACAGGAUCAUAUAUAUAAUAUAUAAUAUGUUACAUAUAUAAUAUAAAUAUACACACAUAUAUAGGCUGCUGCUUUCUCCAAUUCAUUUAAUCACUUUCUUUGUAUCCCAGAAUUUUUUAGAUUUCUGCCUGUCUAUGGAUGGUCUUUGUCCAUUCUCUUUACUUUGUGGAGUUAUAGCACUUAAAGCAUUUGAUUGAUACCUCACGAGAGAGAGUUUAAAUAGCCACAGGCGGCUAAUGGCUAUCAUAUUGGACAAUGUGCCAGGGAUCAAUCAAUGUGCCACCUUCAUCAUGUGAGGAUACAUGCAGCAAGAAGACACCAUCCAUGAGGCACAGGCCCUCACAGACACCACAUCUGCUGGCACCUUGAUCUUAGACUUCCCAGCCUUCAGAACUGUGAAUAAUAAAUUCUGUUGUUGAUAAUUCUGUUGUUUAAUUUCGUGAUUAAAUCUCCCAAGUUAAAAAUAUGUUUUUAGGCAUAGGUCACCUGUGUCAAGAAAAUUAUACCUGAAGGGGAUAGUCAUGAGGAAUCUAAUAAGACACAUGACCAAGUAUAAGCUUUUUUAUGAUUUAUACCAAAGAAUGUACUCAUUCUCCCAGUAAAUAUUUGAAGGUUAUGUACUGUAUGUAAAGCACUCUGCCUGGUAUUAGGGUUACAAAAUUGCAGACACACAAAGCACUCACCCUCCAAGAUCUUUCAGUCCAUUGAGGAAGAAGGUAUACAACUAACCAGUAAGUAUAAUAGAAGAUUGCCUUACCUGCCUACGCUGAAGGGUAAGAGAAAAGUGAUUACCCAGGACACCCAGUUAAGCCUUUACUUAGGAAGUAGCAUUUAAGUCCUGACUUGAAGCUGGGUAAGACUCUUCUGGGAGAUUAAUGAGCAGAAUAUUUUAGGCAGAGAAAGAACAACAGGGCACAGGCACGGAGACAGGUACUAGAAAGGUAAGCCACUUGAUAUUGCUAGAACCUAGAGUACAAUUGUGGGAAUAUAUUGGAAAAUGAGAUUGGCCAAUCAGGCGAAAGUGGCCAACAACUGUAGUGUGAGAAGAGCUAUGCCACUUUCAUUGCAGGGAGAUAACAUAUAAUCCUGACAUAAUGUAGACCCAUUGAGUUGAAAGAAUAGUGAACUCACUGUAUGUUCUGACCCAACCCUCUUCAUUCACUCAAUCAAAACAUAUUUUUCAAUGCUCUCCUAAGUCUUUUUUAUACUGCUAAAUGGGUUUAAGA